UGAUCACACAGCCCCAGCCUGGCUGUGUGCCAGCGGGAUGCAGACAGUUUGCACUGGGAUUUGUGGCCAGAGUGACACUCCUGUCUCUUGGGUCAGCCCAGCUGUGCCCCCCUGAGCCCCAGCUCUGUCCCCAAACCUGGCUGUGUGCUCUGUCAGCCAACAGCUGGGCUUGGGGCAGUUCUGCUGACUGCAGGAGGGUUUUUUUAAACAGAUGUUGCUUAGGGAAGUCAACAAGACUGAUCUCCUCUGGCAUUUUCCAGCCUGUAGCAAUGACGAUGCAGAGCUACAUUUUAUGCUGUGAAUGAGUUUGACCUUUUAUAGCUCUUUUUUAGUUGAGCCAAUGCCAGGAAUAGUUUGUGGUUCAGAAGAUAUUUCCCCCCAGCUUGAAGCUGUUUAAAGCUCUCUGAAGCAAGUGCUACAUGAAAGUGCCCCCGCACUUCCUUCGUGCAAGGCAGCUGUGGGGGGAAGAAGGGAAUUUUACCCUUCCCUCACUGCCCACAGACACAUCCCCGGCUCUUCCUGCUGCAGUGACAAGUUAAUCCAUGGCAGUCUGGAUGACAGGGGAUGAUCUCAAGGGGCAGUGCUUGCCUCCUCACUGCUCCAGAGCCGGGGAGUCCCUGGAUGUCUGCUCACACCUGCCUGGCACCACAGGCUUGAACUGAGGAUCCCAGGCUUGAACUGGGAUCUCAGACUUGCACUGUCUCACCCCAGUUUUGGGCUCUGAGGGUGAAGCAGGUCAGGGACCCUGGCAUUGUCCUGGGUCAGUUCAGCCAGGGAAGAAGAGAAGCAAAUGGCUGAAAAGAUCUGAGGGGAGCACUCACCCCUCUGUGUUGAGCUUGGGCUGAUCCUGGGAAUCCCCUCAGUCCUGCCAAUCUCCUUGAAGCUUCAUCAAGCCUGGCCUUGAAAUCCUGCUAAGGAGCUUCACAGGGCACCAGAACUCCCCUUCCCAAUGCUCAGUUUUUACCAUGUCUGAUCUCUGCCCUCCCAAGCUGCUCUAUCCCAGUGGGAUGCAGCUCAGUCUCUGAGCAUCACUUCCUCCCAGUCCCUUGGCAGGAGCGAGUGCCACUGGCAUGGUCUGAGCAGCUGGGGUAGGACACGAGGAGGGUUUCCAUCAGCACUGUGAGAACUGAAGCACAGCUGCAGCGCUUUGCUCCAAGGCAGAGAGCAAGGCAGGACACCCAGUGCUGAUGGGUUGAAGGCUGGAGCAGCCGGAGCCUCCGGCGUUGGCUGCAGCUCCCUGAGGGAUUCCCAUCCUGCUGCAUUGCAGUUAUCCUGACUCAGCACAAAGGAUUUGGAGUCCUUGCUCUGAAGGGGAGCAGGGAUGGAGAGCUGUUGGUGCAGGAUCUGCCUCCCACACUGAAUGAGGGUCUAACAUGUCCAACCCUCCUUAGGGCACAUGUCUGGCACCCUUGUGCCUUGGCAGGUUGCAGUGGGGAGCACAGAGCUCAGCUUGGUGAAGGAAGAGGGGGAUUAAAUAAUGAGAUGGCCCAGCCUGAGCUCUGCACUCACUGCCAGGCUUCCCCUGCCACCAGCCACUGCAGCACCCAGGGCCUGGCAGGGGAUGAUGCCCUGUGGCACCAGCAGCUCCCCAGCUUGGUGCCACGAGCCUGACUUGCUGUGCCAGGGUAUCUCCUGAGCGCCCACGCGUUGUCAUCGUGCUCUGUUCAGGGGAUUUGGAGCCUCUCCCAACCCUGUUCCCCUCAUUGCCAAAUUAGCUGGAAUUUCUGCACAGGGAAUUUUCUUCUCACGUGGGCUCGUAGGCAGGGUGACUGAGAAAGAUCUUUCUGAUAAAUAUUAACCUUUGUAAGGGUGGCCAAACACCCUGGCACGUGAGUCCUGCUGGGCUUCCAGGAACUGGGCUUCGCUGGAAAAGCCAGGAUGGGCACCACACAGACAGCACUUUCAAACCACCUGUGGCUUCAUCACAAGGUAUUUCACCUUUUCAGCUAAUUGACAUUAAGAGGAUAAAAACCCCUUUUGAUUUCCCCUGAAGUUUCCAAAGCCCAGAGAGAGAAGAGGAAGAGCAUGAGCACCAUUUUCCUGAUGGUUUAAAAGACUCUUACCUCACAAACUGUGGCAGAGGAGAGCACAUGGUAACAUCUAAAAGUAGAUGCAGUGCUAUCCCAGGAUGACUCAGACAUUUAGUACUCAGAGGAUAAUUUUCCAAAUGCUACAAGCACUACAUAAAAAGCCAAGCCCACACUGCUCUCCACGUCAGGCUUCCCCCUGCUGUUAAACACUUAAACCCAGAAAAAAUCCCACAAAACCACUGGUUGGUUUAAAGUGCUGAGGUAGGUUAGGUUGGUGCCAUGGGCUCCUUGGCCACCUAUUACCACAGCCAGGUGUGGCAGUGACUCAGGCUGGUGUCUCAGACCCUGGAGCACUGGCAGGAGCUGACGUGCUCCCAACCUGCUCAUUCAGGAGCAGUUGGGACACGUCUCUCCCCAGCCAAGGAGAGCACAGCAGGUUCUGGCCCAGGUGCAAAGCUUGAAAUGAGGUCAGGGAAUUACUAACGUGAGUGGAAGGAGCCAGAGGGAGUUUUUUCUAGUGAGGUCACACAUAGCUGGUUCAUGCCUGGGGCUCCAAGGAGGGAGAGCCAGGAUUGAUAGAGGAAACAAAGCGGGGGAAUUUUCUCUGUGCAGAGAGACAUGAGGGGAUGAAACCAGGGCAAAUGCACAAUUCAUCUUGUUGCAAGUCUGCAGGCCUCUCAGCCCUGAGGCUGCCACCUUGUCGUGCACAAGACAGGAAAAUUCACUCUCCUGCCUGCAGAUUUUGCCACCCUCCCAUGUUGCUCGGCAGCUGACAGUGGGCUGAGCCCUCCAGGCUCUGUGGGAGAGGACUCAGGGAGUGCUAACACACACCACACUUGUUUGCAUUCUCCCAUCACUAUUCCAGAGGCACCAAUUUUAUCUUAUUUUGAAGCACAUUUCUGUUUUCCUCCUGAUGGUAACAUUUUCCUUUCUGGCUGUAAAUCUGUGUGACAUGUCCAGGCUGUCCCUGCUGGGACUCAUCCCUCACAGCAGUCACCCAACAGUGGGACCUAAUUUCCUGGUGCCAGGGCCAGAGGGGACAGUGCCAGCCCUGUUGGAGAAGCAGAGGAGCCUCCUAAGAGUGGGAAGUCUCCAAAAGCAGAGAAGGCAAAGGCACAGCAGGUGACCUGUCCCAGAUGGGGCCGGGGGACACAGGGGAACUGAGGGGUGAGGACAAGGAGCCCCAUGACGAGUCGGUGUCACUUUGGCCAGCUACCUUGGGCAACACGUGGGAAAGGUGGGACUGCACAAGACAGCUCAAGAGAGAUGUGAGGAAUGUGGUAUUCAAGAGGACUCUCAUAACAACACAGGAAUUUUGAAAUUUCAUUUGGCAUCAGCAGCUUCAAGGAAAAAGUGCAACCAAGGAGGAAUGAAGAGAUUCCUGUCUCCUGAUUUUGUGUUUAAAAAAAAAGUCAGGCAGAAUUCCAGCACUGUGUAAACUGCCAAUGUUCCUCCUCUCCUUGCUUCCAGUUGACGAGGAUCUCAUUUAUGAAAAACCUUUAGGUAAUUUUUUCCCCUGCUACUAUUUCAUACUGUGCUAUCCAUGUUUUCUGCGUGUGAUGUGUGUCAUUUUCCAUGAGGUCUGAUUCUUUUUAGCAUUAGUUUGUUGCUUUACCAGGAAUUUUAGGCAUCACUCCCUUCUGAUGUAAUGGGUGAAGGCUUGUGAUCAGAUGCAAGUUGUGCAGAUGAAGAGAUUUGAGAGCAGACACUGCUGAGAGCUGGGACUAGAUCAUCAUGAAGGCACUUUGGGAAUAAAAAAAAGCUUGAAUGUGUGUAAAGAAAUGAAUGGAAAGCCCCCAGGAGUCGACAUGGAAGCUGGUUUUACCAAAGGAGCAGAGAAACAGCUCCCUUAGGGAUUGCAGAAGGACAAAGAACAAAACCCAAGGGUAAAAUUGCAGGAAAUGCCCAGGGUCAAGUAAACAAUAAUGUGUUAUCCCAGGAAUGUUUCACAUGGGAUUUCCAGGUGGUAUAAAAUUCCAGUGUAAAAAGCACCUGCUCCAGUUUUUCAGCAUUCAUUGUAAGAGCUCAACAGAGGGGAAAGGCUCUUGGCAUCUCACCACUCCCCCGUAUCUCUCAGGAGAGACAUUUGAGGCAAAUUUGAGUAGAAAACUGUGCCAGGAGGGAAUUGUGAGAGGUCACCCAGCCUAGAACCUGUCUGCACGGCAGGGGAAAUUCAACCUGUCUUCAUUCAUUGUUCCAACUGGUUUUGGGAAAUCUAUAGACAAAUACUCAGGAGCCUGAAAACAGCCCCAAAAGUGAAGGCAAACUGAGCCUGUGGUGCUGCUUUGGGUAAAAGCUGAGGAGCAGCAGCAGAGCUGGACAUGGAGGCAGGAUUCACUGUCCUUCAUGUGUGGACACUGCUGGUUGUGUGCCAGGAAUGACCAUCAGAUUUUUUAAUUUAAAGAGAUGUAUGUCAAGUGCAGUGACACCACCACUCGUCCUUUCUCUAGAAGUUCUCUCCUUGAUACAAUUUGCCAGGAGAGAGAUCCCAGGAUAGUGUUAAAAAUCCAGUGAAACACCUAGAUCAAUUCAGAACCCUCCAAAAGUACUUUAAGGCAGGUUUUUAGCUGAGCCUUACAUUUCCAGACCUGUACUGGCAUGUCAGAGUCAGCUGAACACUUCUGGAAAUCACGAUUAACCCAACAGUCUCAUAUACAGCUAAAACAUCACUGCUGAACAGACUCAUUCACGAUUGUGAUCUGUAUUGUAUCAGCAGAUCCUCUCCCUAAAUAAACUGCUGGAUUUGCUGGCUGGAUUUGUGGCAGCAGUACACAAGCAAGAUGGUAAGAAAGGAGAGACUAAAAAUAGCUCAGUUGGCAAUAAAACCAUACUACAGCACUGGAUAUUAAGUCCACUUAUUGAUGAUGGCUUGAUUUCAGUUUAUGAGUCAGAAGGAUGGCCAGGGGCACAGACCCCAAAGAGCCUCUGUUUGCUCCACUUUCUGAGACAGAUGUUAGCAGCCAGAGACUGGACUAAGAUGCUGGACUUACUCUGAAGCUGGGUCUGAUUUGUCUUGGCAUUUUCCAUGGUUCUGUGGAAGGGAAUGCCGUGGGAAGUGGGAUGAGCUGUGACCUCAGCACCUCUGCCAUGCAGACCCUCAGCGCUGCCUUGCGUGAGGCUGGGAUUAGAUCAGAGCAGCCAAGAGUGCUGUAAUCCACUUACUCUGCAUCCUUCCAGAGCUCCAAGUGAAGAUGGAAUUGCCAGCACACACACGCAGCACUGGAACUCAAAGAAAUGCUUCAGAAGUGUUUUUUUUUAGCUCGUGCCUCCUGCUGCUACCAGCUAUUGCAUGUUAACGUAAGAAAUUCCAGAUGGGUGAGAGAAAUGUAAUCAUCUGUCAAUGCUCAAAUAAGGCCAAGUGGGAUUCUCUGCUGAAGUCAUUGAACUCUUACCUUUAUUUCAUGGACAGCAAAGGGAACAGGGAUUGCAAAGUGCAGAGGAUCAAUCUGUAGCCCCUUGGGAAGAUAAACCAGCUCUUUAAGCAAUUUCAUUGCUGUGAACAGGCAUGGGCAAAACAUGUCCAAUGCAAAUGUAUAAAAAAAUCUGGAAAAUGGACUAAAUUUGAAUUCGGAAACAUUCUUGCUUUGUUUGAAGUCUGGUAGAGGGGUCAUUUGAAACCAAAAAAGCAUUUCAAAUAAGUCUGUGCUUCCCAUAACUAUAAAAUAUAAAAAUUGUUUCAUUUCCGAUCAAAAUAUAAAAAAUUGUUCCAUCUGCUGGGAUACUGCUGUGGAAAGUCACUCUGAAUUAGAAUGAACUUUACACUGGUGGUUUCAGAGAAAUCCUCCCUGAUUUGUUGUUGCCAGAGCACACUCAUACAUACCUACCCCAGCGUGGGUAUGUCUCUGGGAAAUCGACUCUCCUACGCCUGAGAACUCGGAAUCCUGAGGUCAAAACACUGCCUUUAAGACACCCUGCUGAUAUGGACCACAAAGCAGUCUGUGUCUAGAAACUGUUUUGUCCUUUCUGGUUUCCCAGGCAAAAAAAGAGAGCAAGAGAUCUGAAAACAAUAUGUGGAAAUCUUGGAAAAUCCCUUGUGUCCUAAAGAAUAGACAUUUCAAGCUACUUGACUGAAGUGUUUUGACUCUCAGCAAGGAACUUUUGUUCAUUAGUUACUGUUUUACAUCUUCAGUUUAAUUGUCAGUACCAACUCUGCCAACCAAAGCAGCCAGGGCCACAAAGUCACCUUGAAAACACCCAGGCUUUCCAAGUGUUUUAAAAGAACCCAGUGACAGAGAUGCUCCUGAUAAUCAAAGGCCAUUGGUUUUCCAAAACUUCAGUAUUCUUGAAAAUCUCAGCCCAGCAUCACAUGCAGCACCCAACAAAAGUGCCACUUCCUAUAGUGGGUGAGUGAUUUCCAAGGGAUCCUGCACAUUCACAGAACACACAAAAAAAAGACUGGCUCACAGGUCUGAAGGAGCCUUAUUUCUCCUACUCAGAAGCACAGAUUCUGCUCUUCAGUUUGCAAUGUUUUCUGAAGAAAACAUGAACUUAAUGACACAGCCCAGCUGCCUUUGUGCUUUGACCCAAAUGUGAGCAUGAUGUUCUCUCUCAAAAAAUAUCUAUGAGUUCCAUGCAGGAAAUUUAGCAGAAAGUUCUUUGACAGAUGCCAACUAAGAGACUUUAAACAAAUACUAUGGACUGGCUCAAGUACAGCUUGAAUGAUGGCUCCUUCAUUAUUAUGUCAGCAAACAGCACAGAACGUUCACCAGUGCCAGGAGUAAAUAAAACAGCAGAGGAGCAACACCCAUUGCCAAACCACCAUGAAAUUCAGGUAAAAACUCAUAUUCAGGGAAAAGAUAAUGAUAUAUCAGCAGAUCUAGCUGAGUAGGUGAUGUAAGCACUGAGCACUGUUUGUUUUUUGAGUGCUGCCUUUCUGUUUUUUCUACAAUUCAAAAAAAAAAAAACCUAAGGGCUAAGUACUCUUACUUCCAAAUACCACUGUUUCAGCCAGGGAAGUUCAAAUAAGUAGGAAGCUUUAUUGCAUACUGAUUUCUUCCUGCCUAGAGGUUGUUUUCAGCUUAGAAAGAUCACAGAGAGGGCCUUGAUUCACUCCAGUUACAGAAGAUUACUCUUAGGAUUAAAGAGAAUGCACAAAGAGACUGGCAGUCAGAGCAAGGCAGUGCUUCUGGAAUCUGUGUCCUGCUAGGAAUAUCCAUUUCAACCAGCACAGCUGGAUUUGAUGAGGUCUUUUCCAGCAUUAACAAUUCCAUGAUCCAAUGACCAUUGUGCAUUUGCUGAUUUCCACAUUUGCUUUUACCACAGGUUAAAGUUAUGAAUCAACACCCCGAGUGAAAAUCAAGUUCUAAUCAAUGCUGUCUCUCCCCACUACACAAACAGCAGCAUAACAGGGCCACAACACCCUGGAGGAACAUGGGGCUGGAGCAGCAAGGACCUUGGCAGCUAGGAGGAACAGCCAUUCCCCAGGCUGCUCCUCCCCCUUCCACAUUCACCUAUGCAUUUCCUUCAGGAGUUCCUUCAUGUCACCAGCCUCCAGCUUGUUAGACUCACAAAUCAGGAAUCACAAAGUAAGAUAGUAGAAAAUUAAGUCUUUUGCAUUGGCAACAAUGUGUAGGUUGCUACAUAGGAUGCUUGGAGGCCAAUGACAAUACUUAAUGUAAGAGAUUCCCACCCCCCACCCUGUUGGAAUCCUUGGCUCAAGGUUUUUUUGGACACAGGAAGAGAAUAUUUGUCUCCAAACUUAGGAAAGAAUCAGGUGUAAUAGGAAUCCAGUGGAUCACCUUCUUUAAAGGGAGCACAAAGUGUGUGGAAAGAGACUGUCCAUUGCUUGGGUGGCUCGGAGCUCCUACGUGAUGUCCUUCUUCCUUGGGGGGCGGUGGAUGUUCCUCACCACACACUUCACCAUCCAUUCAAUUCCUUCAUUCACCCCUUUGCUGAGGGAGGAAGGCAAGCAGAAAAGGUUUUAAAAUAAAGCAACAACAAGAAGCAACCAAGAACAGAAACAUGGAUCAUACAGGCCCUAACUAAGCCCUUACACGAGGAAGGGAGGGGCUCUACACAGUUAUUUGUUGGCAUUUCUGUGUUAUUUUUCACACAGGCAAACAACAGGGAUCUGAUUUCUUUUAGCUCAGCAAUAUAUACCUCCAUCCUUUAUUUUUCUGUUAUUUGUCCAAGUCUACACCCAACUUAGUCACCAACUCUGUGGAAAUCUUGGGAUGAACAAGCAUCAAACCCACCUGACAGCUGGUUUGAGGUCAUUUUGCCACAAACCUCACAUUAGUUGUAUAAGAUCUUGCAAUCUUGGCUCCAUCUUUGUGUAAUCAUCUGUGCUGGGGCUGCCAAGCAACACCUUGCUGGUCUGCACAGCUCCCCAGCCAUGACUUCCAUGAGUUAUUCUUUUAGUGCAAGCUCAAACUGGAAUUUUGAAAGGAAAUUCCACACAGAUCAAAACUAGAAAUGUUUGCACAAAUAAAGUUAUUAUCUACUACUUCUCUUCCAGUCAGUGCUUGAACACUGUUCUUGUGGUCAUUCACCUGCUUAAUGGCAUGUGAUUUGUAGCAAUGCAGACAACAGAUUUUUUUUUUUCAUGGUUCAGGAAGUUUUUGUUAUCCUUUGCAGUAACUUGUAUGAUAACACAGAAAAAAAUUCAAAGCUCUCAGUUCAGCCCAGGCAGUAAUUCAGCCAGGAGUGUUUCCACCACAUGGAACAAAACUUUUGAUUUAUGCCAAGAGGCACUUUUCACUGAAAGAACUGAAAGUACAAAGAACAAAAGUACUGCGAGACUGGAUACGCAAUAAUGAUGCUGAGAUGUCAAGAAUCCAGUGGGCUGGUCAAGGUCGUGGCACGCAGCUUUGUAAGACCCAAAUUAGGGUCUGUUUUAGUCAUCCAAUCUUAAACCACAGGCAUCCCCAUGUAAGAGGACUCCUGGAAACUGUGAUAUCAUCCCCAUCACGAAGCUCUUCUGCAUGCCAAAGAAUAUGAAUGCAGAAACAUAAUUAUGGCAGCAGCAGUGAAGCACCACCCAUUUCUCAGGCAGAGGCAUCAACAGUGGUAUUUUCAAUUGACUUCUAACCUAAAAACCAGGAGUUGCAGCAAACCAACAUCUGCAGGGAUUAUUGUGUAAGGAGAAGGGAUGAUACAGGACAAGAAAUAUGCCUCCAAGUCCCUCUGCUCUCAGCCAGGAAUACAUUUCCACUGUGUUUUACAGGCAAGACUGACAGCUGAAGUUACUGAGCUGGUGCAAGCCCAAGGAUCUCAAACAAGUGUCUGACAGUGCUGGAAGGAAGCACAGCUCCUUUUCAAGGCUUAAUAACUCGUGUAGUGCUGCUCUGUGUGUGACAUCCCACAGCUGCUCAGUCAACCAAUUCUCAGUCUACCCCUUCUCAUACUCACCCAGUAAGGGCUGAGCAGGCUUGUGUCAGGCAGUCUCUCUUCCCAAUUUUGUUAAUGCAGUCACUAAAUGCUGUCUUGAUAUCGGGUAUCGACAGACAAGUCUGCAAAGGAAACCAAAGCAGAGCUUUUUUGUGCUACAAGACAUGGUGACCUUUUUCCACAAUGAAUCCUACCAGGACUGCAGGCCUACCAUGACAUCAGUCAGGAUGGUAAUGCUAUCAGGUUAAACCCACCCACCCACCAACACAGUAAACUCACCUCUUCACAUUCCAAAGAAAUGAGCAUAUUCUUUUUUCAACCAAGAGAAUGCUGUUUGCUGACAGCACACACUGCCUCACCUCCCUGAUCCUUAAUCUGUACAGUUCUAAGCAAACAGUCCUGAAAAUGAGCACAACCUGCACCCUCUAAUGAUAUCCAUUCCAAGCUGCUCAACAGCUCAUAUUUACCAGGACACUACAAGAGCUUUAAUAUUUACAAAGCCUUUUGAAAGAGUGUCCCUGCCACAAGCUCAGCUGACUCUUUGCCAGCAUCCUGGGCACUCUCACAAAACAAGCUGUGAUUUUUCCUCAGUUCUCAGCACUACAGCCAUGUCCCACCAGCACUUCUCUGUCUGCAUUCAGAGAAAAACACUGGCAGCACUGAAUGCAGCACACUUUCUGAUCACUGUGCUCUUGACCCCCAGCAGGUCCUGAGCUUCUGUAAGUCUGCAGGAGGCUGCUGGGAGCAACACCACAAAUCAUAACCCCCCAGUAAAUCAGUGGAUUACUUUCCCCACAUAAAUCACACUUUCACCACAAAAAUCUUAAAAGUACAACAAAAGCAAACCUGCCCAACUGAAGCCUGGACUUGCACCUCCCUGAGCACUCAGUGUUCAUUUUUCCCCCAGAAGCCUUGGACAAGCCAUUUAAGCACUUCAGCUGGCCAUGAGCUCACAUUCCCUCCUCUCUGCAAAGACAUUCUGGACCUUCAACAAGUCUCAAAUAUGUGUUUGGAGCCUUCAGUCAGGCCCACAUACGUGUUUUGGACAAAUGUUUACACAAAUGCCAAACUGGACCCUUUGUGAGUCCUGAGGAUUGGACAAUUGGACACAAACUCUGAGAGAACAGAAAUAUUAAAAUUGUUACCAGCCAUCCAUUUGCAAAACAGUGAUUCUGGAGAAAUUAAACACUGGAAAUUUUUGUGGACAACAGAAGUAGGUUUCAUUGCUUAUACGUAGGAAGAGAUCUUAAGAAAUGGCUUCCAAUUCACCCAGUGCCCUUGACUCCAUUAACUGUGCAACUGUUUGAUGACUGUACUUUCUUAUGACCUCAGAUGCAUUUUAAACUUGCCCUUUCAAUCAGUGACCUGGAAACUGUAUCCAAAAACAUUACUGACAUCAUUCUGCAGAACCCUCAAUUUAGGUCAGGAUUUUUGACAAGUGAAAAAUGCGCAGUUCAUAGAGAUGAGCUGUCAGCCACAGGAUACACAGUUAAUUAAAAAAAACAACAACAACAAUUACUAACUUUAGACGGCGUCAGACUGGGCUUGGGAGCUGGAAUUCAAACCAGUAGAUCUGGAAGAUGGGCAAGAGAUUACAACCAACCCAGCAUUCUCUACGGUUUGUAAAAGCCUGGCAUGGUGUCCACUGCCCAGUAAGAAAGGCAGGUCCAAAUGCUUCUUGGUUUUACCCAAAGCCCUGGACAAGUCCAUUACCCAACAACUGGGAAGGAGAAGCAUGUCAGUAAUUUGAGCUAUUUUUCACAUCUUUUUUCAGUCAAUGAGACUUGGCAGCUGAAAUUGAGCAAAUGUUUGUUGAAAUAUACUUGAAGCUUCUCAGAGUUUAAUGUCAUUGUAUAAUCAUAUACCUUUGAGUAUAUCCUUUACAACUUCCUCUUUCUACCAUUCCUUCUUCAGUCUACCCUUCCUUUUCUGAAUGAUAAUACAUUUUAAAAUAUUUUAAAAGAAAUCAGAUAGUGUGUUCAAGAUACAAAGUAACAACAGAGAGCACAGUCAUGCUGUCCUUGGUUCCUCAAUUUCUACUUGCACAGGUAGCAAAGCAAUCAGGCAAUGAACUUCCCCACACCACCAGCAGAAAAGGACACCUGCACAUACCCAGCAGCACAGAGAACCCACAUCCUUCACCCUGCCCAUCCUUGAAGCCUUUAAGAGUCCAUUUUGCCCAGUGCAGCUAACAAUUACAGCCAUUUUUAUCUCCCAGUGUAAACCAUUGUUAUAAUUUCCCUUUCUCACCUUCAGGUAGAGCUGUGGCCUGCCCCACCUUCCACAGAGCUGCCCAGCCAUGGCUUUCCAUGGAAAGCUGUAUCAGAAAAGAGUUUUGCUUCUGAGGAAACUUUUGUUUCACACUGUCACAGCAGGACUGCAUCACCACUCCUGUUUUGGGAAACAUCAUUUUCCCCUUGGGAUGAAGCAGAGCAGCACAGCAGACAGGGAAGCUGUGGGAGGCCUUCAGUUGGAAACCAGAAUGACUUUCAUGCAGAAGGUCUGUUUUCUAACAGCUGUGUGGAAAUGAGUACUCUGCUACUCACCAGGACUCCUUGCUUUUCCAGAGGCAUGAGGAGGCUUUUCAACAUUCUGGAGAUUUCAAAUUAAAUUUCCAAAAUUUAUCAUUAAAUGAGGAUGGCAAAACUUCCUCCUAUACAUGAGUCAUCAUAUCAUCAUGCAGCAUCCAGUAAUUUUCAGAUUGUUAAAUUUCAGAUGCUGUUUUUGACAGGUCAUGCUUUUGCAGCAUUUUGAAUAGUGUUGCAUAAUGAGCCAUUCUAUCCUCAAAUUGUAACAGUUCAUUGGAAAGCAUAGAAAUAUAAACCUUGUGUACAUCUUUCAACAGCUGCAUUCACAUCAAAACAGCAAAUACCAGUUCUGAUUUAGCUGGUUUUUCUGCAAUAAG